GUAAAUAGUAAUAUAUGGUGUGGUCCAAAUGAUUUGCUAAUGUGGGAAAGAGGAUAUGCUUGUGUUCACACCCCGUCAGGUCCUCUUUGGAUUCCAGCACGAGGCAUCAAACCAUACCAUGGCAUGGCUAGGACCCAACCCGGUACCAAAAUGAAGAAAAUGACCCUACAGGACCCACAAUCCCGGAUGAUGUGGCUUCCUUGGAUGACACAGGCCCUGGACAUUACCUGGGGGAUGCUGAAGAAGACAACUCAGGAGGCCAAGCAAAUCCUGCUCCAGGCACAGACACCAUUCACUCCAGGAAGCUGCCAUUCAUUCGACAUAAGUAGGUGCUUCAUCUGAUAAGCGCUGCUUGUGUAAUUUAUCAAUGACAGAGAAGGCAGAUAGCAGCAUGCAUACUUGGGGCUGCAUUUGAAGGAGAGCAACAUCCCUUUGUUUUCACAGAGGAGAACAAGCAUGAGUUGAGAUUGUGGUGCUUCUUGAAGUCUCAUCCAGAUCAGAAACCUGCUGCUCUGUCCACAUUCCAUCCACCAAAGCAACCCAUAUGGCCAUGUCCAGCAUCAGAUGGGGAAAGGCAGUUCUCCUCUAGCACGAGGAGCUGCAAAGCCACAUGGCAAAGGAUGAGUGUGUAAAAAAUAAAUGCAGGAGGGCAGGAGGCAUUGGGAACAAUGAUCCAA
ensembl:lncRNA LINC02826 long intergenic non-protein coding RNA 2826